rnacentral:sRNA from 1 species
UCCAGCGUCCCGACCCCUUUUCCUCCCGCUGUCCCCCAGGGAGGGGACUGCUCUCCCCCGCUGCAUCCUUUCUGUGAGGUACCUUACCCACCUCAGCACCUGAGAGGGUGAAAUAGAAUUCUAACCUCGACAUUCGGGAAGUGUUUUUGAGAAGUCUCGGUCGGUAAGGGAAGUCUUCCAAGUUCGUGCAGCACUAACGUAUUGGCACCUGCCUCCUCUUCGGCCACCCCCCAGAUGAGGCAGCUGUGACUGUGUCAAGGGAAGCCACGACUCUGACCACAGUCUUCUCUCAGCUUCCACUGCCGUCUCCACAGGAAACCCAGAAGUUCUGUGAACAAGUCCAUGCUGCCAUCAAGACAUUUAUUGCAGUGUACUAUUUGCUUCCAAAGGAUCAGGCCCUGAGAACAAUGACCUUAUUUCCUACAACAGUGUCUGGGUUGCAUGCCAGCAGAUGCCUCAGAUACCAAGAGAUAACAAAGCUGCAGCUCUUUUGAUGCUGACCAAGAAUGUGGAUUUUGUGAAGGAUGCACAUGAAGAAAUGGAGCAGGCUGUGGAAGAAUGUGACCCUUACUCUGGCCUCUUGAAUGAUACUGAGGAGAACAACUCUGACAACCACAAUCAUGAGGAUGAUGUGUUGGGGUUUCCCAGCAAUCAGGACUUGUAUUGGUCAGAGGACGAUCAAGAGCUCAUAAUCCCAUGCCUUGCGCUGGUGAGAGCAUCCAAAGCCUGCCUGAAGAAAAUUCGGAUGUUAGUGGCAGAGAAUGGGAAGAAGGAUCAGGUGGCACAGCUGGAUGACAUUGUGGAUAUUUCUGAUGAAAUCAGCCCUAGUGUGGAUGAUUUGGCUCUGAGCAUAUAUCCACCUAUGUGUCACCUCACCGUGCGAAUCAAUUCUGCGAAACUUGUAUCUGUUUUAAAGAAGGCACUUGAAAUUACAAA